ensembl:lncRNA
GUACAGACGGGGUUCACCGCGGCUCACGGAGGACUGACGAGUCCCUGCGUGGCGUGACUGACGUCCUCCCAGGGUGGACACUGGUUCAGCCACGCUCCCGUCAUGCAGCUCGCUUACUCAGUCUGGUUUCAUCAGACCUCUCACACUUUACUGUGCUGCUCUAAGAGCUAAAGGCUCAACAGCCACCUUCGAGGCUUUCGGGACGGGAAACGAGCCAGGCUGCGCUCCAUCUCCGUGGGCGGGGCGGGUUCCCACCGGUCUGGCCAGUCCCUGUCUCCCGGGCCUGACCUCUCCUCACGCCCGCCCCCCUGCCCCUAGGGCCGCCCCCCAAGACUCUCAGUCCCGGCACAGUCACUGGCAGAUCUGCGACGGGCACCACCUGCUCCAGCGGCAGCAGCCGGCCCUCUACCGGGACGAGCCCCAGGCGCCCGGGAGGGCAGCCAGCCUCGGAGUGCCCCUCCUGCCCCUCAGCCUCAGCCUUCUGACCUUCCCACAGGCCAUCCUGCGUGUCUCGGUCACUCGGCAGAGCCGCUGUGCGUCAGGACGCUGGUGCCCCCAACAGAACCACAGUGCGGUGCCCAGGAGGGUCUUGCUGUGUAGCCCAGGCUGGCCCCGAACUCACAAUGAUCCUCCUGCCAGGGCCUCCAAGGUGCUGGGACUACAGCCACGAACCACCGUGCCUGCCCACAGAUGGCAGGAGAGGUGUGUGAAGUCUGCGUGGGGUGUACAUACAGUUGACACCAACUAAACUGGCUCUGUGUUAU